rnacentral:rRNA from 1 species
UACGUAGGUGGCAAGCGUUGUCCGGAUUUACUGGGUGUAAAGGGCGUGUAGCCGGGUUGACAAGUCAGAUGUGAAAUCUUGCGGCUUAACCGCAGAACUGCAUUUGAAACUGUUGAUCUUGAGUACUGGAGAGGCAGACGGAAUUCCUAGUGUAGCGGUGAAAUGCGUAGAUAUUAGGAGGAACACCAGUGGCGAAGGCGGUCUGCUGGACAGCAACUGACGGUGAGGCGCGAAAGCGUGGGGAGCAAACAGG